rnacentral:rRNA from 1 species
UUGAACGCUGGCGGCAGGCCUAACACAUGCAAGUCGAACGGUAACAGGAAGAAGCUUGCUUCUUUGCUGACGAGUGGCGGACGGGUGAGUAAUGUCUGGGAAACUGCCUGAUGGAGGGGGAUAACUACUGGAAACGGUAGCUAAUACCGCAUAACGUCGCAAGACCAAAAAGGGGGACCUUCGGGCCUCUUGCCAUCGGAUGUGCCCAGAUGGGAUUAGCUAGUAGGUGGGGUAACGGCUCACCUGGGCGACGAUCCCUAGCUGGUCUGAGAGGAUGACCAGCCACACUGGAACUGAGACACGGUCCAGACUCCUACGGGAGGCAGCAGUGGGGAAUAUUGCACAAUGGGCGCAAGCCUGAUGCAGCCAUGCCGCGUGUAUGAAGAAGGCCUUCGGGUUGUAAAGUACUUUCAGCGGGGAGGAAGGGAGUAAAGUUAAUACCUUUGCUCAUUGACGUUACCCGCAGAAGAAGCACCGGCUAACUCCGUG